rnacentral:rRNA from 1 species
UACAUAGGGGGCAAGCGUUAUCCGGAAUUAUUGGGCGUAAAGGGUGCGUAGGCGGCUUUCUAAGUCUGAGGUAUAAGUGCAGUGCUCAACGCUGUGAUGCUUUGGAAACUGGAAAGCUAGAGUGAGAUAGAGGCAAGUGGAAUUCCAUGUGUAGCGGUAAAAUGCGUAAAUAUAUGGAGGAACACCAGUGGCGAAGGCGGCUUGCUGGGUCUAUACUGACGCUGAUGCACGAAAGCGUGGGGAGCAAACA